GACCUCAGCUCAAGCAAGAGUACCCGCUGAACUUAAGCAUAUCAAUAAGCGGAGGAAAAGAAACUAACAAGGAUUCCCCUAGUAACGGCGAGUGAAGAGGGAAAAGCUCAAAUUUUAAAUCUACUUGGUUCGUCCCAGGUCGAGUUGUAAUUUGAAGAAGCGAUAUCGGUGUUGAGGUCUGGUUUAAGUUCUUUGGAACAAGACAUCAUGGAGGGUGAGAAUCCCGUGCAUGAUCAGACCGAGAUACUAAGUAUAUGCUUUCUAAGGGUCGAGUUGUUUGGGAAUGCAGCUCAAAAUGGGUGGUAGACUUCACCUAAGGCUAAAUAUCAGCGAGAGACCGAUAGCGAACAAGUACUGUGAAGGAAAGAUGAAAAGAACUUUGAAAAGAGAGUUAAAUAGUACGUGAAAUUGUUGAAAGGGAAACGAUUGAAG
rnacentral:rRNA from 1 species